UUUAAGCUAUGGAGCUAAGUUUAAGCAGGUGUAUAAUGUAUAAAUAAUUUAGUUUUGGGUAAAAUUUAAACUUAAGGUUAUUUUUAAAAUAUACUAGAGAAUUCUAAAUCUAUGGCAUAAACAAGGAUUAGAUACCCUUCUAUACCUAGAUUAAACCAGGCAGGGUAGUAACUAGCUAUGUUCUUCAAACCCAAAGGAUUUGGCGGUGUUUUAUCAAAUUAGAGGAAUCUGUAGGGUAAACGAAACUACGCGUUAUAUCUUACCGUAGUUAAGCUUGUAUACCGUCGUCUCGGUGAAUUUAAAAAAGGUCACCUUAAUAGGCUACAAAAAUGGCAGAUCAAGGUGCAGCUUACUACGGUCGCUAUUGAUUACAAUCUUAAAACUGAUGAAUAAUAAGUUGAAAAUUUAUUUGAAAUUGGAUUUAACAGUAACUCAAGUUUAGUAUACUUGUGUAAAGGAGCAAUAAAACAUGUACAUAUCGCCCGUCACUCUCAUUCGCU
rnacentral:rRNA from 1 species